GUACCCUGCCAGAAAAAAGCACCGGCUAAACUUACGUGCCAGCAGCCCGCGGUAAUAACGCAGGGGUGCAAGCGUUGUCCCGGAAUUAUUUGGGCGUAAAAGAGCUCGUAGGCGGUUUUGUCGCGUCUGCUGUGAAAUCCCGAGGCUCAACCUCGGGCCUGGCAGUGGGUACGGGCAGACUAGAGUGCGGUAGGGGAGAUUGGAAUUCCUGGUGUAGCGGUGGAAUGCGCAGAUAUCAGGAGGAACACCGAUGGCGAAGGCAGAUCUCUGGGCCGUAACUGACGCUGAGGAGCGAAAGCGUGGGGAGCGAACAGGAUUAGAUACCCUGGUAGUCCACGCCGUAAACGUUGGGAACUAGAUGUGGGGACCAUUCCACGGUCUCCGUGUCGCAGCUAACGCAUUAAGUUCCCCGCCUGGGGAGUACGGCCGCAAGGCUAAAACUCAAAGGAAUUGACGGGGGCCCGCACAAGCGGCGGAGCAUGCGGAUUAAUUCGAUGCAACGCGAAGAACCUUACCAAGGCUUGACAUAUACGAGAACGGGCCAGAAAUGGUCAACUCUUUGGACACUCGUAAACAGGUGGUGCAUGGUUGUCGUCAGCUCGUGUCGUGAGAUGUUGGGUUAAGUCCCGCAACGAGCGCAACCCUCGUCCUAUGUUGCCAGCACGUAAUGGUGGGAACUCAUGGGAUACUGCCGGGGUCAACUCGGAGGAAGGUGGGGAUGACGUCAAAUCAUCAUGCCCCUUAUGUCUUGGGCUUCACGCAUGCUACAAUGGCCGGUACAAAGGGCUGCAAUACCGUAAGGUGGAGCGAAUCCCAAAAAGCCGGUCUCAGUUCGGAUUGAGGUCUGCAACUCGACCUCAUGAAGUCGGAGUCGCUAGUAAUCGCAGAUCAGCAACGCUGCGGUGAAUACGUUCCCGGGCCUUGUACACACCGCCCGUCAAGUCAUGAAAAGUCGGGUAACACCCGAAGCCGGUGGCCCCAAACCAUUUAUGGAGGGGAGCUGUCGAAGGUGGGGAACUGGUGAUUUAGGACUAAGUCGUAACCAAGGG
rnacentral:rRNA from 1 species